rnacentral:rRNA from 1 species
GAUGAACGCUAGCGGCAGGCCUAAUACAUGCAAGCUGAACGGUAAAUGUCGUAGCAAUACAAUAUGAGAGUAGCGUAAGGGUGCGUAACACGUAUGCAAUCUACCCGCAACAGGAGGAUAGCUCCCCGAAAGGGGAAUUAAUACUCCAUAAGAUCACGAGAAGGCAUCUGAUUGUGAUUAAACUCCAAGGGGUUGCGGAUGAGCAUGCGCAUGAUUAGUUAGUUGGCGGGGUAACGGCCCACCAAGACGAUGAUCAUUAGGGGAACUGAGAGGUUGAUCCCCCACACUGGCACUGAGAUACGGGCCAGACUCCUACGGGGGGCAGCAGUAGGGAAUAUUGGUCAAUGGGUGAAAGCCUGAACCAGCCAUGCCGCGUGCAGGAAGAAAGCCUUCUGGGUUGUAAACUGCUUUUAUCUGGGGAUAAAAUACCCGUGCGCGGGGAAUUGAAGGUACCAGAUGAAUAAGCCACGGCUAACUACGUGCCAGCCGCCGCCGUAACAC